CCCGCCUCCCUGCCAGCCUCCAGCCUCCAUCCCAGCCUCCGUGCCCGGCUGCCUCUCUCCCUCCCUCCCGCCUUCUCUCGCCGCCGGAACGGAACCGAAAGCAAAGGCGGCGCCGGGCGGCCCCGCUCCGGCCCCGGGGGCCGCGCCCUUCCCCACGGCCCGGCCCGGCUCGGCUCGGCUCGGUACGGCCCGGUCAGGUGCAGAAGUCCCGUUCUUGCCAAGGAGGAAGCAGGGAGGAGGAGAAGCCGUGUGGAUGCGGCGCGGUGGGCGGAGGUGUUGAGCCUCGGGGCUGAUCCCACACCCCGCGCUUGGUGCACGUCCCCGUCGGAGCACCGCCGGCAGCCGGGAUGAGGCCGGCGGCCUCGCCAUGCCCUCGUGCGUCCCCGGCAGCUCACCCGCGGCCCCCCGGCCCCUGCACCGUGACGGAGGGCGCAGCCAAGCACCCGGGCCACCGCUGAGCGCCCGCCGCCGCGCCAUGGAGUCGCUCAUCGUGGUGACCGAGUGCGAGGCGACGGGGAUGGCGAGCGAGGAGGAGAUGAGCGCGGCCGCCGGGGAGGAUGGCCGGGAGCCGAGGGCGAAGCUGAACCUCUCCGGCCGAAAGCUGUCCCUGCAGGAGCGCUCGCACACCGCGCACUCGCCCGGCAGCAGCGACGGCGCCAGCGAGCGCUUUAUCUACCCGUCCCUGCCCUACUCGCCGGUGACGUCCCCGCACUCGUCCCCGCGCCUGCCGCGGAGGCCGACGGUGGAGUCCAACCGAGUCUCCAUCACGGGACUGCAGGACUGCGUCCAGCUCAACCAGUACAAGCUGAAGGAUGAGAUCGGGAAGGGCUCCUACGGCGUGGUGAAGCUGGCCUACAACGAGGACGAUAACACCUACUAUGCAAUGAAGGUUCUCUCCAAAAAGAAGCUGAUGAGGCAGGCGGGCUUCCCCCGCCGCCCGCCGCCCCGCGGGGCCAAAGGCGCCUCGGAGGGCUGCGUGCAGCCCAAGGGGCCCAUUGAGCAGGUCUACCAGGAAAUCGCCAUCCUGAAGAAGCUGGACCACCCCAACGUGGUGAAGCUGGUGGAGGUGCUGGAUGACCCCAGCGAGGACCACCUGUACAUGGUGUUUGAACUGGUGAAGCAAGGCCCCGUGAUGGAAAUCCCCACCCUGAAACCUCUCAGCGAGGACCAGGCUCGGUUCUACUUCCAGGACCUGAUCAAGGGCAUUGAAUACUUGCACUAUCAGAAGAUAAUCCACCGGGACAUCAAACCUUCCAACCUCCUCGUGGGGGAGGACGGGCACGUCAAGAUCGCCGACUUCGGCGUCAGCAAUGAGUUCAAGGGAGCCGAUGCCCUCCUAACCAACACGGUGGGCACCCCCGCCUUCAUGGCCCCGGAGACGCUCUCAGAAACCAGGAAAAUCUUCUCUGGAAAGGCUUUGGACGUCUGGGCCAUGGGAAUCACGCUGUACUGCUUCGUGUUUGGGCAGUGUCCUUUUAUGGAUGAAAGGAUCCUGAGUUUACACAAUAAAAUCAAGACCCAAACGUUGGAGUUCCCAGACCAGCCAGAAGUUACAGAUUUCUUGAAGGAUCUGAUUACACGUAUGCUGGAUAAAAAUCCCGAAUCGAGGAUUUCGGUCCCUGAAAUUAAGGCAAGUACCUUGCAACAGCCUUUGGCAGGAGAUUUCUGGUCCUUCGCCCCUGCGGGAACCUGGAAGGGGCGAGAAGCUGAGAAAAUGGAGACGAAGGCUGUGUUAUUAAUUGAAGUUGCACCCUUGGGUCACCAAGAACGGAGCGGAGCUGCUGCCCACCGAGGACGAGAACUGCACCCUGGUGGAGGUGACGGAGGAGGAGGUGGAGAAUUCGGUCAAGCACAUCCCCAGCCUGGCCACCGUGAUCUUGGUUAAAACGAUGAUCCGGAAGCGAUCCUUUGGGAACCCGUUUGAGGGCAGCCGGCGGGAGGAGCGCUCGUUGUCCGCCCCUGGAAACCUGCUGCCGAAGCAAGGCAGUGAAGAUAACCUGAAAUGCAACGACUUGCCUAACGUGGGAGAGGAGGAAGUCCUUUCGUGAACGGCCGCUUUACGGUUCUGUUGAGCAACUCGGUCUGGGGCAUGUUCUAAAGCUUGCGGCUGAGGAUGAGCGACAUUAACAGAGCCCACACCAAACGCAGCAUGACGCGGCGCUAUUUCAGUGUAACGCUGGGUGUAGAGCUUACAUAGCAGCAUGUUGUAAGACAUCCGACUACCGUAUCCGUCAUAACCAUUGAACAUCUCUGAUUGCUUGGACCGCAGACUUCUCGUGGGGGGAAAAAAAAGGUGCUGGCAGAUCCCGGAGAGGUGAGCGAUGGUGUUGAGCAGCAACAGCGCAUUGCAAAAAAAAAAAAAAAAAAAAAGAAAAAAAUGCAGUCAGACAAAAAAGGUGUUUGGAACUUCUUUUGCCUGCCAAAAAAAAUUCCAGGCACUAUCGCCAACGUCCCAGGGGUGUUGUAUGCCCAUCUCGUGCGCACGUGCAGAAGUGUGAAGCUUUUGCAGAGCGGCAUGCGCGAUAUAAAACUACACUCAUGCACUUUGAGGGUUCAUGACCUGCCAGAAAUGUUGCAUCUAUUUCUUGUCGUUCUGUUCUGGUUUUAAUUGACACCUUUUUAACUGCAUGGGAACAAAGCAAAACCCACCUUUUCAGCUUUUUUUUAAGAAUGCCUACCUUUGUGAGCCGAGUUGUAUUAAACGGCAUCUUCAGGACAUUCAGAAAGUGAGGCUAAUUGCAGCGUUUGAGGACGCUGCCUCUCCUGAGGUCUUGGUGUUGGUGGGACUGCCAAUGGGUAAGUUCAACACUCAGUGUAUGAAAGGAAAAGGUACUUAAGGGCUUAAGUUCAGUCUGAACUAUUUUUGCUGCAGACAUAGAGUGAAAGGUGGUGUUUAGCUGAAUGUUUUGAACAGCAGAGGAAGCACUAACAAGUCUGUUUCUAAAUCUUUUACUUGAUCUAGAUAGCUAUACUAGUAAAUAUAAAAUUCAGGGUAAAAUCCUUCACUUCCAUGUACAUUACAUGGUUUACUACAAUUAAAAAUAAUACAACUUAACGCUAUUUUUUAAGUAUAGAUUUAGGGCUUGCUUAGACUUUAAGAUCUUAAUGAAAUACUUAGAUUAGCUAGUAAUUUUCAAAGAAACCUUUGUUUUCCAAACUCUUCAUUUGGAUUUUGGGGCCAAUGCUGUGUACUUUUUGCAAGUUCGUUACCAGUAAUUUGUGAAUGCCUGUGGAUCAGAGGCUUGUUAGUAAUUUAAGUGUAUACCUAAUUCAUGGAUUGUUUCUUAUGAAGAGCUCCUUCACCUGCAGUCAAAUUUCUCUGAUCAUUUUGUGGUGCUUGUUAAAAAAAAAAAAAAAAAAAAGUAGUGGGAGAGACUCUGGCUUCUGGACUCACGUUCACAAGAUCUCUGUGCUCAGACAAAGCUGGAGAGCGGCAGCGUGUAGGUGAGCUGGCGGAGAUCAGGGUUUGGCUGAGCGAAGGGGUCCGGGUAAGUACGGCUGUCUGUGGCUGGAGCGUGGGGCCGGGAGGAGAAGGUCGGACUUCUUGUCUCAGCCUCGCGACUGAUGCGGUUCUGCUGGGAGAGGAGGAUCCAAACAUCCCGAGCAUGCGAGGGACAGUUAGGCUGAACUCUUUGCCCUGAGGGUGCUUUAGGAAACCGAAGUGUUAGGGGUGGUGGGAUGGCUGCCCGCUGACCCGGCCACAGCUGCCCUGUUGUAGGCUUUUAGGACGUGACUGUUCCCUUGUCUUCCGUCACCUUGGGCGCCGCUGGCAGCAGAGCGCUGAGGCUCUUGGCUGCGGUCGGACCUGGCCCAGUAAGUCCUGGCUCUGACCGGUCCUUGUUGAAGUCGGGUGGUGUUAGUGAGCGCAGAGGUGCCUACACAAACUGCCCCGUACGUCUUUUGAUCACCUGAAGCGAUGCUCCCCUUAGGUCGCAAUUCAUUACCGAAAGAUUGUGCUGCUGGCCUCUCUCCAAAACCAGUGCCUCUGGUUUGUGAUUUGGGAGCAGUACGGUGGAAUUCAGGGCCAUGUUUUCCUCCCAUUUUUCGUCCAAGGCUAUGCCAAAGCCCUGCAGCUUCAGCUAUGGGAAAACCAAACAGGUAACUUGGUUGCCAGCACUACUCCAGCUGCCUCCUCCCCUGUCUCUGAACAGGAUUUGUUCAUCGUGGAAACGAUGAUUGGGAGUGGGCAGCUUGGUUCUAUAACCUUGUAAAUGGACUUAUUCUGAGGGAAAAAAAAAAAGGAAAAAAAAAAAAAAGGGGAUCUGAUUACUUGUAGCUAGUGCGUAGUGAUGUGUGUGGUGUGUUUUUGUUAGAGGUGAGUGAGCUGUAGCGAUGCUCCAUGCUGAGCGUCUCCAGCUGGUGAUUUGGCAGGUACCUAGCAAGACAGUUUAAAUUUACCAAACAGGAUUGCCAGGUGCAAUGCAGCUUCUGAACAGAACAACCUCCACCAGUUCCUUGAUGCCCAGUCACAGUUACUGGGACUCGGAUGCUAGCAUAGAUCGGUGUCUUACGGCCAGUGUGGGCUUGGUUCGUACGGAUCCUAAGGCUGAGCACUUCCCGAAGGUGCUCUGCAAAAGGCUUGUCUCUUAGUGCCAGCUCUGGUAAGGCUGCAGCCAAAUGCACGUUUCCAAAAGAAACUCGAUGUAGAUUUUCUUGUUGAUUCGUUCUGUUGAAAGCGUAAAGCUUGGGUGUGUGAGGAAGAUGUAUCUCAAUGCAUGACCUGUUAGAGAAGCUGUAUUGUAUGUUUCAAUCUGCCCAGUUCCCUGUCUGCUGUUCCUCGGUAAUAAAGCUCGCUUUUUUUCUUAUAGUGAAGUAAACAUUUUGCUUUAAACAUUUUGCUUGUGCCUUGGAACUGGGCUACAGCUUGAUUUCCCCAAUUCCCCUCCUUUCAAGCGAGCCCAGUGCUGACUGUGGGGUUAAUGCUGGGUACUUUUGGGCUCUGAAAGCACACAGGAAAGUGCUAUGGGGAAACCAGGCCUCUUGUGCUGAGUAGUUUUCUUGGUGGUCCCCUCCCACCGAUCAGGCAACUGAUCUGUUUCUUUUCUAGAGUCCUGAAUAUUGGCAAAUUUUUAUACUGUUUGUUUAAUGACCAAGGCUUGUGUUUCAUUCUUACCCCUUUAUUAUGCAUUUAACUUUAUCAGGUGUAUCAAGUUUAAAUACUGUGUAUUUACCACUUUUAAAUUAUAUUACCUAAGAAGAAAACAACUAAGUGUUUUUCCACACAGCUGUUCAAGCUUCUCUGUACAAGUUGAAAUAAAUGACAUGCAACCACA